rnacentral:Y_RNA from 1 species
GGUUGGUCCGAUGGUAGUGAGUUAUCUCACUUGAUUGUUCAGUCAGUUACAGAAUCCUUGUUCUACCACUUUCCCCCCUUCUCACUACUGCACCUGACUAGUCUUAA